rnacentral:lncRNA from 1 species
UUUUAUUUAAGGGAAAGGUUUCUAUACUUUCCCUAUUGCAUAGAAGUUCCCCCUACCAUCCAGCUGUCCAAUUUGAUCAAGAGAGUCACUCACCGUUUGAUCUUAGAUAUGACGUUUCAAAGUAUUCUAUUUUUAGUUUUUUUAUACAAAUUGUAUGAUUAUAGAAUUUGGUACGUGCCUUCUUCUCAUUGGGGCACACCUAUAAAAAAU